rnacentral:piRNA from 1 species
UAUCACACUGAGAUGAUAAAUAUUGAGCC